GGGCAAUGCCAGGCAGUCCGGGUUGAUUUGUUUAUUACGCGUGAUCACAAUUUACCAAAUUGUCGUGUGCCUUGAGAUCGAAGAGCAGAACAAACAAGCAAUGCAAGUGCCGGAGCCCAGUCCUUAUGGUCCAUCUAGGCAGCAGGGAUGCAUGGUGAAAUGGCCUCACAGAAAGGCAGGUAUGGGGAAGCUUCUUUGGCAACUGAAGAUAGAUGGAGAUAUGUGA
rnacentral:lncRNA from 1 species